CAGUGGGGAACGAUCUCCUGUUGGGGAUUUCUCCCUUGUGUUGUUUUCCUCGCAAGUCUAGAUCUUCUGAGUUGGUAAAUGUGGAAUGAUGUACUAACAUACAUUGAUGUACAGUGAAGAGCAAUAUUAAACUGACUGGAGAAGGUUCAAUUUUGAGAAAAAUGCCACCUUUCAUCGGUUAAGAGGAUAUAUCAGCAGAUUGAAAGAAGGAAGAGCCAUGGGAAUGGGACGUGUUCCAACAGAUGAGUAGCCUGGUGUUCUGGUCCUGGAGCUGCACCCCUUGGUGUUAGCUGAGCUGCUUGGAGCCACAUCUGAGAUUUUGAAUGAGCACCUGAUGUAAGCUGUGAAGAUACACACCAGGAAGAGAAAGGAAGCAGUGGGGUGUUUCAGUUAUACUGUGUAUCUGCAUGAAGAUCAUGUCAGAGAGAAGAGUGGAAGACUGGAGAGAAAUGCCUGGAAAGCAUGAUGGCAUCACCAACCCACACAAAAGGAAAAUGUGGAUGCCCCAUCCUUGGAGGCAUUCAAGGCCAGGCU